UCCGUAGGUGGCAAGCGUUGUCCGGAUUUAUUGGGUUUAAAGGGUGCGUAGGCGGCUUUGUAAGUCAGUGGUGAAAUAUGGCAGCUCAACUGUCAAGGUGCCAUUGAUACUGCAGAGCUUGAGUACAGAUGAGGUAGGCGGAAUUGACGGUGUAGCGGUGAAAUGCUUAGAUAUCGUCAAGAACACCUAUAGCGAAGGCAGCUUACUAGGCUGUAACUGACGCUGAGGCACGAAAGUGUGGGGAUCAAACAGG
rnacentral:rRNA from 1 species